UGAAGCAAUUGUUUCUACUAUACAAUCUAAAAUAAAUAAUUAAUUUGAGCUAUCGUUUUGUUUCGUCCUCUUGACCGCGGCGAGCUGUGAUUGGUCAAUUUCAUUAUAGUUAACUAAACCGUUUCGAAAUGAAUAUUAUAGUUUAGUUGGGAGCCCGUACAUGAAAAGUACCCAAUUACAGUUUGGUAUACGAAAUCUUAAUUGGGUACUUGACACAUGUUGAAUAUUAUAACAAUAUUUAGUUACAUGGAUAGAAAAUGAGCUAUACAUUAUAAAAAAAAAGUGGAAUUAAAAAAAUAUGUAUUGAGAUUAUAAAAAAAUACAAGGCUCCGAAGUCUCAAAAAAAUUGUUUUUUGUCUUUCAAAAAUAGAAAAGAAAAUAGUACCAUUCCUUACAUUUUAUUGAAAAAUAAAUUGUAUGACAACUAUACACAUAAACGCAAUAUUUCAGGGUCAAAAUGGCAAUUCCCUUGAUCUUCCAUACAUUUAGGACAGACUUAUAUAAUGUGACGUCACAUCACCUUAUCAUUUUCUUCAGACUUUAACUCUCAUUUCUGACCUUUGUGUUGCUUAAAUGCCAUGAGUCCCAUAUAGACAUUUGAUCCUCAGGAAAAACAAGAUCGAUUGACAUUAUUUACAAAAAACUGUCAAAGAUGACAUUAUUUACAAAAAACCAGCGCACGCGCUGGGCCGCAAACGCUCCCUCUGCAAGAGCUAUCGCUCUGUUGAAUGAUAUGUCUAUGCGAUUACCUGACGUUGACAUUUUUUAUCAUGCAUCUUACCAAAUUAUUAAAGGCAUUUAUGAAAUUUUGAAUUUAACUUAAUUUAAUUGAUUAUCAUUCAUAUUUAUUUACUUUAUUGACAUACUUAAUAUUAUAUAAUCGAAUUUGCUUUUUGUUUUUGUAAGGUUGACAUGUAAUUUUCAUAGUGUAAGUGUGACAUAGCAUGUAUAAUAAUUAUAAUAUCAUUACUUAUAAGCGCCUUGG